ensembl:lncRNA
CUUACAGAACAUGAUCUUUGAUAGAUUUAUGUUAUUUAUGUUAAGUAGAGAUGUUAAAGCAUCCAUCCAACCAUUUUCUGUACUGUUUAUCCUACACAGGGUCAUGGGGAGCCUGGAGCCUAUCCCAGGGAACUCAGGGCUCAAGGCGAGGACAGGGUGCCAACCCAUCGCAGGGCAUACAUACUCACACACCCGUUCACACACUAUGGACAAUUUGGACAUGCCAGUCAGCCUACAACCCUUGUCUUUGGACUGGGGGAGGAAACUGGAGUACCCAGAGGAAAACCCCUAAGAACAGGGAACAUGCAAACAAAGCAUGCAAACUCCAUGCACACAGGGCAGAGGUGGGAAUCGAACCCCCAACCACGGAGGUGAAAAUACUUUUCAGAGAGAAGAAUCUUUGCCUGUACAGAUGGAUACCACUAAACGUUGUGGAAAGUGCAAGUACCCGGAACGACUUUUUAGUGAACUGCACUACAUUCUGCAUUCGAAUAGAUUUGGUAAGACUUUUAUAUCCAUAUUUGUCUCAUACGAAGACUUUCAAUAGUUGUGGUUUUGAAUUCAUGUCU